rnacentral:snoRNA from 1 species
AUGCCAUGGUGUGGGCAAGCAAUGACAGACUCUUGCAUACAUUCCCAAGCUUUGGGAAUUGACUCAUCAACUUGUUACUGAAAACUAGAAAUCUAGUUACAAAGAGCAU